CUCUUUCAAUUGUUUACAUUGAAUUCACAGAUGGUGUCAUGGAAAAGGUAUUAUCCGGUUGCCCGAACUUGGAGUACUUGGAAUUGGAAAAAAUUUCAGGCAUACAUCGUUUGGAAAUAAGCUCUGUGAAGAGAGAAUUUAUUAUACACAACUAUAGAAAUGAGAAUUAUGACCUUUGGCUCGAAUUAUUAGCCCCUUAUAUUCAAAAAUUGCAAAUUUUGGGGUUGUGCAGUGAGAUACACAUCAUAAAUGUGGCAUCACUUGUUAUUGCGGUGCUUUUUUAGAUUUUGGUUUUGAGGACGAAGAGCAAAACAUGGAAAAGGAAUUUAGGUUUUUUAAGGAACUUCUUGACAGCAUUGCCCAUGUCGAGAAUCUUAACUUGGGAUCCUGGUGCAUCGAGGUAUAUUCAUACUCUUCACUGUCCAAAAUUCAGAUCCUUUUUAGGGACUUUUUAUUUGCUAUUGAAUCAUCACUAUAGUAAGUUAGUAACAUUAAUAGUGCCACUACUUGGGAUAAUCUAAGUUGAAACAAGAUCUUUUGAGCAAAAUAUUGGAAGAUUAAUUGUGAGAAGAAAAAAAUUGCAAUUUUUAGAAAAACAUGUUAAACUAUUUAGUCAUGUUAAUGGGCUUUCCCAAGUGUUCAUCGGUCCAUCUUUGGAUUCUCAAACCAACCAUAUGCGGCAAAACAGUUGUAUAAGUCAAAGUUGUUUUUAUGAAUUAUUCUACAAUUUGCAUUUCAUUUAUUAAGAAUGUCAUAUAUCCUUGUUUUGACAUAUUUUGGUUUGUCUAUUUUGUUUGUAAGUGCUUGUCCAUCUUGGAGUUGAAAGGGUGGGAGUUUCAACCAUCAAGCCGGAAGUUCUUAGAACUUGCUGUGGAAUCUGAACAGUUGGACUUCCCUGGAAUUUGCUGCUUUCUACAGAGCUCACUGGAUCUUGAGACAUUGGUCAUUGACUGGUACAAUGUUGCAUUUGGAUAGUUGCUGUCUAGGUACACAAAUGAGGACGAACAGACCAGGAGGUUUGAGUCACAUAAUUUUAAUGGCUCAUUUCCAUAUCUGAAGACCAUAUCCAAGGACUUGUUAGUAGUUCUUCAUGUUAAGUAACAAUGUUUAUUCUCUAAUAGUCAUGGAAGAAAGCUUGCUCUAAUGUUUUGUAAUUUCUAUUCAUUUUGUGCAAUCCUGGUCUUUUUAUUCUAUGAAAAUUUAAAGUUGAAAACCAGUUUGAACUCUCCCACCACUUUUUGCACAGGUAAAGUAGGUGUUAUCUCCUACUUCAUUUCUUUUCUAAAGAAAGAAUUGGAGGGAGGUUUCUUUCCUGGAGUUCUCCGCUUACCUGAUUACUCAAUAGCAUUAGAGUUUCUCAAUAGUAUCUGUAUUUAC